CAGCGGGCGAAGCGACCACCCUGGGCGACAGGUUCACUUGCUCGAGCGCCUUGGAUUGGAGAUCCGCCGGGUAGUCCCGGACGCAGCCGAUGCGAGCCCCCGCGCCGGUGGUCCAUCUGCACGACAGCCGCCUCCCGAGGGAACUCAUCGUCAUCGACGGAGCACUUCUGAGAAGCAAAAGGCACGAGUGGGUUGGUUAAAUGCCCCAGGGUGGUGAACACAGUACAAUGUAUGGUCAGAUACACCUUCGCAUCACUCCACCAGAUAAGGUCGGGCUGGAGUGAUCGAACAAGGAGAGCUUACCGGACCAAGAUAGCUGAUGCACUGCUUUUGAAGCUUGCUUCUUGGGCACCUCUCCAGAUUUACUUCUCUUCCGUCUCCGACGUCCAACCUUCACAUUCGACCAAAGGAAGGAACAGACCAGACAUCAUAAUACAAAUGCAAGUUGUGCCCAUAGCGAUGCCGGGGAUCAAUCUGCACGGUGCCUGGUUGUGGAUUAGAUUACCAUAAAGCCAUCUCUCUGUGCUACCAAGGAAGAGGAUACUCACGGCUUCUAACCAAUGUUGCAGUGCUAGCUUCUGAGCCUUUUCAUCUUUGGAGAGGCCCUUACCGACCUGAGAAAAAUGGAUGCACACACACAUCAUAUUGAUUGGAUAUACAUUGGAACAAUUAUAGAGCUUAUGCGUCAUGACAUAUCAAUCCGAUCGAUUACCCUGGCUGCUCUUCUUUUCGCUCUUGCCCAUUUAGAGACUGCAGGUUCUGGCUUCUCGACGUCGAAGAACAAGAUGGAACUACGCUUGAGAGAUGCGAAAUCCAGUGCCUUCCACCUGCAAAAGGGGAUUGUUUUUCUUUUUGAGGUAAAACGAGAACAGAGAUCUUCGUCUAGUUUUUGACUUGUGCCAGGUGAAGUUGGAGACGCACCAGAGUUCCUCCACCACCACCGCACAAUCUGCUAGGUUUCUUCUGGUUCGGUAGCUCUUGUAGACCUUCUGCAGCUUGGUUGCUGCAGCGUCAAGCUCGCUCGAAGGCCGAGGGGAAGAGAGCUCGACGAGCUGUUGCGGGAGCUUCACAUGGGGCACCGCAAAGUUCAUCGGCACCUUGAGACAAGAUGGCUGCAACGUAACAUCAUCAUCAUCUGCGGCUUGUUCUCCGAUGGGAACGGAUGCGUCGAGCUUUGGUGUCUCAGGUUCCCAGUUCCUGAAGCUUAAUGAUCUCUCCGUCACGGCGUCAUCGCACGCACCAGAGACCAUCCUGUUCGACGAAUUGCUCCUUCCGAAACUGAGUGAUCUCAAGAUCCUAUUGGCCUUCUUUUCACCGAGGCUAAUGGAUCCGGCUGCAGCAAACCAAUUCCACAAGGGCACGGAGAAGGAUAAGCCCAUGGAAGUGCUGCCCCUGUUAGAUUACAAAGGUCCAACCACAAGAACCAUGUCACGGAGCAGUAAAGCCAGCAUCAUCGCAUCUCCGACAAAUAGAUCAGUAGAUGGAAGAGGCAGAAGAAAAGAGGGAGCGGAACAAGCUUAGUUCAACGUACCUAGCGGAUCACAGAAGGAACCCGACUGCUCGGAUGAGAAGAAAGCUGAGAAGGUAAGGAGGACGAUGCCACUGAGCAGUGCUCCCUUCCUGGAAUGAGCUCUGUGAAAACUCAACUUUCCAUCUCCUUCAAAGGAGAGAGAGAGAGAGCACAGCUUUUUUGAAGCCUGUGUUGGAUUAAAUUAUGGCUGCUGCAUGACUAACCAUCCCCACUACCCAACUUGCUUAGAUUUUAUAUGACCAUUUGAGAGAUGCGCUGUUGGAUUUGUUUUGCUUUCAAGGAUUGACCAUUGACUUUUUAGUGUCCACAGGAGGUAGGCGUUUCUUCCUUGCCAAAGAAAAGGAUGAUUUCAGCUCCAAGCAUACGUAAUCAGAUAAGUCCUUUUGACUAUAUAUAUAUAUAGUAUACAGCAUGAGUAUAUGUAUAAUAAGAACUCAUGCAUUCACAUGCCUUUGCUAGCAUUAAAGGAGCUCAUCAACUGGAUUCAAUGAACUAAUUUCAACUGGGCAGCUGCCCCCCUUGACUUUGAAGAGGUCUUAAGUUACUCCCACAGUACAGAAAUGGAGAGCAAACAAGAAGCCAACCUAUCUUCUCAAUAGGAGAACAAAAAGCUCAUGUGUCUGUGGGACAUGGAACGGAGGUUCCUUGAAGCUUCACGGCUGCGAGCUCUCUCGUCAAAGAACAGCAGAUCUCUCUCGGGAAAACAACAGAGUAAGACAAACAGGGAGUUGAAGACCGAGAAAAAGAUUCAACACUGGAUUACAUAUUAUAUUAUGUGGAUUGCUCGGUUCUGCACAUGCAAGCAUCCAAGAAUCGAAAGAGCAUUGCCACUCUUACUGUCUUUUUGACCCAUAUGCGGAGCUUGAAUGCAGAGUCUGCGACCGGUGAGCUCGCUCGCGAGCUUUCAGCGGCGGAAAGGAGAAGUUGACACGUAGCGUGGUCAAAUACCAUGUCUUCUUCGGACUGCAAUCCUGUGAGAGACGGGGGCAGUUGGUAGCUUUCCCCGCUGUUUCUUCUCCUUCGGUUCCGAGAAGGUCGACUGUGCAGCAGGAGUUUUCAUAUCCGGGGAAGGAGGAGGGCGGAAAGGAUCCCCCGUCCUCCACGUUACUUCUUCAAGAUCCGUGCACCAAUUGCACGACUCUUAAAGCAGAGAUGUCGAUGGUCUCCUCCCAGGUAAGCGUGACGGAAAUCCUUCCGCGUCCCCUUUUAAGAUACGUGCAUGGGCACACCGCAUUCUGUCCUUCAUGCUGCGUCGGUUGCACGAAUUUUAAAGCAGAGAUGUCGAAGGUCCUCCCCUUGAGGGAUGUAGCCAUGAAGGAUCAUGAUGAACGAGCCCUUGACAAUCGUUCUUUAGGAGUCGUGCAGACGUAACAUCACACUUAGGUGUGCAGCGUUACUCGCACGAUUUCUAAAGCAGAGAUGUCGGAAGGCCUACCCCCGGCAACGGAUGGAUGGAAAAGGUAACGGAAGUCCUUCACGCUCCUCCUUUGAGAUCCGUGCAGUAGCACACACGUCCAGUCAUUAUAAAUCCGUGCAGGGGGGACCCGAUAUAAAUGUCGAUGGUCUUCCGACGUGGGAUGCGAAUGUGAAAGAUCUUAGUAACUUUCCUGCUUUACGAUCCGUGCAGACGCACACCGCACUUCGCUAUGCCGUGUAGCUCGCACGAUGUCUGAAGCGGACACGUCGAAGGUCUUCCGACGACGUUCUUGCUCCAAGAUCCGUGCUGGGUGAUGGCACCUUGUCAAACCUCUGCACGAUUUCUAAAGCAGAGAUGUCGAAGGUCUUCCACCCGCGUUAACGUAGAAGGAUCCAAGUAAGCAAGUCCUUCACGUUUUCGCUUUAUGAUCCGCGUAGAGGCGCACCGCACUGAUGCGGUCAGUUGCACGAUUUCCAAAGCAGAGAUGCUGAAUAGCAAGUCCUUCACGUUUUCGCUUUAUGAUCCGUGCAGAGGCACACGGCACUGAUGCUGUCACUCGCGCACGUUUCCAAGCAGAGAUGGUGAAGAGCAAGUCCUACACGUUUUCGCUUUAUGAUCCGUGCAGAGCCACACCGCACAGAUACUGCCACUCGCACGGUUUACAAAGCAGAGAUGCUGAAGAGCAAGUCCUUCACGUUUUCGCUUUAUGAUCCGUGCAAAGGCACACCGCACUGAUGCUGUCACUCGCACGGUUUUCAAAGCAGAGAUGCUGAAGAGCAAGUCCUUCAUGUUUUUGCCUUAUGAUCCGUGCAGAGGCACACCGCACUGAUGCUCACUCGCACGGUUUCGAAAGCAGAUGCUGAAAGCAAGUCCUUCACGUUUUUGCCUUAUGAUCCGUGCAGAGGCGCAGCGGCACUGAUGCUGUCACUUGCACGGUUUCCGAAGCAGACAUGCUGAAGAGCUAGUCCUCCACGUUUUCGCUUUAUGAUUCGUGCCAGAGGCGCACCGGCACAGAUGCUGUCACUCGCACGAUUUCCAAAGCAGAUACGCUGAACGUCUCCCGACAACGGAAGUAAACAGGACGGAACCCGGAAGAGAAGUGCUUCACCGGGUUCCUGCUUUAACAUCCGUGCAGGGGCCAUCGCACUUCGUCAAAGGCCAUGCACGAUUUCUGAAGCAGAGAUGCCAAGCUUCUGUGGACUGGGAUCUGAUUACAGUUUAUCUAUAUUUCCAUGACUCGAUUCAUCUGCAGGUAUCAUCAAAACAUGCAAACGUUCACGGCAUUGUGCUCAUCUUCCACCUCCACGCAAGGAAAGAAACAGAUGUUCCUUAAACUAAGCUCAUCCGCUGCAUAAAGCUAAGGGUCAAAAGAAGAGAGAGAGAGAGGAGGAAAACGAUACCCCAUAUCACUUUUUGGCAACCUUAUUCCUGGCUGCUCGAACAGAUUUAGAAGACAAAGCGGCAGAGCAGGAGGCGGCAGAUCCGGCGAACGCCUUCUCGUUCUUAUCUUGGGUAAAUGCCAUGUUCAUCUCUUCCAGAAUCUCAUUGUAUCUGUUCUUUCGCUCUUCAGUGUUGAUGUGCUCCACUAUGGAUAGCCCCGACAGAUCAUCUCCCAGGAACCUGUCGAUUACCUUGGAGCACCGAGGGAAGAAAUGCAUCCCAAGUUGCACUGGACAGUAACGUUCACACAGAUCAUUUACAAAAUACAGAGUAUCAUGCUAUCGACAUGCGCUAAGAAGGUGGCUCAUCUAAAUGCCUAAGUUUCUAGAUUGAAUGACACUGCUUAAAAAUUCAAGAUGAUGUCUGAGCAAAAGUCGCAACUCGAAAUAUUGUUUAGGUCACUGACGCUUACGUAUUGAGUUUGAGUCAUAUGCAGUGUUUCAAAAAAAGCUGCCACUGUGCAUGUCUUUCAUGUCACUACUGGAGUUGUGCAGCAUGUUUCCAAUAUAAGAAAACUGAAAGAGUUGAGCAGUA